CAACUGCUGCGGUCCAGCGGAACGGCGACGCACGAAUUUCGCCCGCCAGACAUUGUCGAGAUUUUGCGAGUGCCAACCAAACCAUCACCAUUUACCAAACUCACUUUGCGAAAACAAAGAAAUUGAAAGCAACAAAAAAUAAAAUGCCGUAUACAAAUAUUUGAUUUAAAUAUUAAAAUAUAAAAAUAUUAUAUUCAGUUUUUGUGGCCCCCCCCACGCGAGUGUUGAUAUAUUUUUUGAGAGUUUUGUGCGGGUGAAGCGCACUUGUUUGGCUUUAUUUCGGUGGAGCUCAAUGUGUGUGUGAAAAUUCCGAAACAGAAAGUGCAGCCCUCCAACUAAAAAACACGUGCCAGUUUCUCGGUGUCCAAGCCAGAAAGUCCAAGAUAAUUGAAUAAACGAUCCACAAUCACGAGUCAAUGUGUGUAGGCACACUCUUCAUACUCUUCGGCGGCUGUGAGGCAGAGUAAUUGAUAAUAUUGAAUGCUGGCAGGACAUUGCCAAGUGAAAUCCAUUAGCUAACGGGCAAUCACCUGGGAACCUCUCAUAGCUCGGUGGAUGCCACGUGGCGAGGUUAAAGGU